UGACCUCGGAUCAGGUAGGGAUACCCGCUGAACUUAAGCAUAUCAAUAAGCGGAGGAAAAGAAACCAACAGGGAUUGCCUCAGUAACGGCGAGUGAAGCGGCAACAGCUCAAAUUUGAAAUCUGGCUCUUUCAGGGUCCGAGUUGUAAUUUGUAGAAGAUGCUUUGAGUGUAGCUCCGGUCUAAGUUCCUUGGAACAGGACGUCAUAGAGGGUGAGAAUCCCGUAUGUGACUGGGUGCUUUCGCUCGUGUAAAGCUCUUUCGACGAGUCGAGUUGUUUGGGAAUGCAGCUCAAAAUGGGUGGUAAAUUUCAUCUAAAGCUAAAUAUUGGCCAGAGACCGAUAGCGCACAAGUAGAGUGAUCGAAAGAUGAAAAGCACUUUGGAAAGAGAGUUAAACAGUACGUGAAAUUGUUGAAAGGGAAGCGCUUGCAACCAGACUUGCGCGCUGUUGAUCAUCCGAGCUUCUGCCCGGUGCACUCGACAGCGUUCAGGCCAGCAUCGGUUUUGGUGAGCGGAGAAAGGCCUUGGGAAUGUAGCUUCUUUCG
rnacentral:rRNA from 1 species